GUCUAUGGCCAUACCACCCUGAACGCACCUGAUCUCAUCUGAUCUUGGAAGCUAAGCAGGGUCAGGCCUAGUUAGUACUUAGAUGGGAGACUGCCUGGGAAUACUGAGUACUGUAGGCU
ensembl:rRNA 5S_rRNA 5S ribosomal RNA